GGGGCUGAUAUAGCAUUCGAUAUUUGGACUUUAACAGGCUGUUUUGCGUACCGAUUUCUGACGUAAUCAGAAUUAGUAAUUGCAACAUUUGCAAAGAAAGCAAAAGCAUUUGUCGCAUCAUUGAUGCCGAAGCAAACUGCUCUUGCGCUUGCUGCGUAAUAUACUGCAGCCAUGCUUAGUUCCGAUGCUUGCUAGAAACUAAGUGUGUCAUAUUUUGCAAGAUCGAUUCAUGCGCAUCCGCUUGAGUGCGGUGAAUUUAAAUUUUUCAGCUCGUAGUAGUUGUAUGUUUGUUUGGCUUCCGGGCAGCUACUGUGGUUAUUAUAAAACCAAACUAUGUGCGUAGACGAACAGCGUGUUACCAAAUGGACCCGGGGGCGGUACCCGGCAGCUCCACCA
rnacentral:tmRNA from 1 species